AUUGAACGCUGGCGGAAUGCUUUACACAUGCAAGUCGAGCGGCAGCGCGGGGGGCAACCCCUGGCGGCGAGCGGCGAACGGGUGAGUAACAUAUCGGAACGUACCCCGUCGUGGGGGAUAACACAGCGAAAGCUGUGCUAAUACCGCAUACGACCUGAGGGUGAAAGCGGGGGAUCGCAAGACCUCGCGCGAUGGGAGCGGCCGAUAUCGGAUUAGCUUGUUGGUGAGGUAAAGGCUCACCAAGGCGACGAUCCGUAGCUGGUCUGAGAGGACGACCAGCCACACUGGAACUGAGACACGGUCCAGACUCCUACGGGAGGCAGCAGUGGGGAAUUUUGGACAAUGGGGGCAACCCUGAUCUAGCCAUUCCGCGUGAGUGAAGAAGGCCUGGUGUAAG
rnacentral:rRNA from 1 species